rnacentral:lncRNA from 1 species
CUACGAAUAAUAUAAUUAUUUUUAGCAUUGCAUUAAAUUUACUCAUUAUAAAUUGAUCAUAUCAUACUCUAUUUUUAAAUGAAAAGAGAAAACACAAUGGUUAAAAUUCUCAAAUUUGAUUUUGCUAUAAUUUUGUUUCUCUCCCUGCUUCUUCUUUCAAAUAAGGCUAGCGGUAAAUUUAUUCGCACACUUAAAUAUUUCUGUUUUUUUUUUUUGUUGAAGUUCUUACACAAUUUUUUAUCUUGUUUUACUAACAUUUUUUUUUUCACAGCCGCGAUUAUUCCAUGUAAAAUUGAUGAAGAUUGUCCACAAACAAAGGUUGUUCACCUUAACAUGAAUACUUACUAUUAUAGGUGCAUUGACAAACUAUGUAGAUUUGUUAAAGAUAUGUAACAAACACUAUUGCUCUAAGGAAGAGUUAUUUCUUGAAAUAUCAUAAAAUAAAAGUAAUAUAUUUAUGUAAAAUAUUCCAUGAAUUUCCAUUUAAUUUAAGAUUCAUGUUUUUAA